ensembl:lincRNA
UUCCGGAGCUGCUGCGGAAAGCGGCAGGCGCAAUGGGGCAAGUGCUCAAAGCAAGGGGCAGGACUCGGAGGCGGUUAUUGGCAGUGUGUCUUCGUGCUCUAACACAUCUUUGCAUUCAGACUCUCACCACAGGCUGUGCUCCCACCUCCUGAAUGAUGGUGGUGAGAGGCAUACUGCGAAAGGCACCGGAGGACGGGGCUGCCCGGAAAGAGCACAACGCCCAGGCCGGAGGCAGUCCUGUCGGGCUUGCUUAGGGCUGCGAGUCCCUUCCAUCCAUUCCAGUCCCCGAUAAGCUCUCCAGAGCUAGGGGUGCCAGAGCCAGGCCUCUCCUGACAAGGGGUAAGCGCGAC